rfam:Gordonia effusa NBRC 100432 DNA, contig: GOEFS105.
UUAGCGGGGUUAAGGCCCCCCACAGACCAUGGGGUUGAUAGGCCAGAACUGUACGCACCGCAAGGUGUUUAGGUGACUGGUACUAAUCGGCCGAGGACUUACCAAC